UACAGAGGGGGCAAGCGUUAUUCGGAAUUAUUGGGCGUAAAGGGCGCGUAGGCGGCCUGGCAAGUGAAAGGUGAAAUCCCUCGGCUUAACCGAGGAACUGCCUUUCAGACUGCUUGGCUUGAGACCGGGAGAGGUGAGUGGAAUUCCCAGUGUAGCGGUGAAAUGCGUAGAUAUUGGGAGGAACACCAGUGGAGAAGGCGGCUCACUGGACCGGUACUGACGCUGAUGCGCGAAAGCGUGGGGAGCAAACGGG
rnacentral:rRNA from 1 species